rnacentral:rRNA from 1 species
UACGGAGGGUGCAAGCGUUAUCCGGAUUUACUGGGUUUAAAGGGAGCGUAGGCGGGUAUGUAAGUCAGUGGUGAAAGCCCUCAGCUUAACUGAGGAAUUGCCGUUGAUACUAUAUAUCUUGAAUAUCGUUGAGGUUUGCGGAAUAGGUCAUGUAGCGGUGAAAUGCUUAGAUAUGACCUGGAACACCUAUUGCGAAGGCAGCAGGCUAAACGAUGAUUGACGCUGAGGCUCGAAAGCGUGGGGAUCAAACAGG